rnacentral:lncRNA from 1 species
UUUUUUUUUUUUUUUAAUUGAUGCCCAAUCUAAUUGUUUAAGGGCAUAGUCUGGAUUUCUAGAUUUUUCAAAGUUCACCAGGCAAUUCUAAUGGAUAGCAAAGUUUAAGAAUCAGCAUUCCAGAAACCAAACAGGGAGGUUCAGGAAAAAGUCAGGGGUAAGUGCGAGAGGACAGUGGCAGCUGGAUGCUCUCUGCACAUCUACCUGUGACCCCCUGAGUCUAAUCAGCUGUCUCUUCAGGGCCCUCAAGUCUGGGGUCCAGACCAAGCUUCCCUGAACUACUGGUUCAAUCAAGAAUGAUGCUAGAGCUGCAGUAAAAACGGGGCACUUGGAAAAUGGAUGAAAACCAGAAGCUGGGCCUACUUUAAAGCCAGACAAGAGGACCUGUUAUCAAUAUCAGGACUGCAGCUCAUAGGAAGCCCUCCGCUGACUGUUCGCCCUCACCCACCCGAGCAAGAAGCGCCAAUGUGCAUUGCUGCAGAAAAGCUCCUGUUCUAUGAGGUUGGCGGGUCUUAAGCAGCUUAAUGGGUUAGAGCUGCUGAGUGCUCAAGCUCCUAACAGCUGGCCUUACUCAAAGCAGAGAGGAAGUGGCAGGUCUCCUCUUUGGAGGGCGAGCCUUACCUCACAGAGGGACAGGGGAAAUUUUCCUGCGACAGGUGGCAUGUCCUGAUGUACAACUGUGGGCCGCUGCCCACAUUCCUGAGGCAAUGGGGUUAAUUCUGGUGUUGCUCUCACGGCCCUGGGAGAGGUGGAGGGCUUGCAUCUGUUGAGGCUCCUCAUAGAUGGAACUCCUCUGACUCUUCCUCACGACAGUGCUAGUGUGAAGUCUUUACUGUGCUCCCAUUUUACAGAUGACAGAAACAGAGCCUGGGCACUGCUGGUUAUGACAUCACAGUCAACCUGGUGAAGUUUGACGGGCAAAUUCGAAAGCCCCACUCUCUUUCCAUAGCAAUGUCCAAGAUAAACCAAACACGGCAAGCUCCCUCCCACCCAUAGGAAAUCAUCCAAAGGCUGCUGGUGGCCCAGCUUCCCUGGAUUAGCCAAUUAGUCAUCACCAGCCUGAAGAUACAAAACCUUUGAACUUUCUUCCAUCAUUCCACAGGGACACGCGUUUGUUCUCCACCCUGGGUGAGCCCCAGCCGAGUGCCAGCCGCUCAGAAGCCCGUGGAAUCUGGAAGGAGGAGUCCUUUCACACACCCAGCUUUAAAGUCCUCUCACCAAGCUGAGGGCCCUUCCCUCGUCACACACACACUUCACACCUUCAGACCUGAAUUCUGUGUGUCCCUUGUGAGGGGUCAACAGACCUGGAAUUAAGUCGACCCAGGGCCAAGGCCAGCUUUUGGUCUCUUCUCCUCAGACGCAGGAAACUUUCUGCUACUGGCCCCAUAAGUGCCAAAUGCAAGGCCAAAUUAGCUGGUACUUAGUACAGUCGGUGUACAUAAGACUAACUUUUACUUCCCAAACGCAACUUUAUAGAGCUUAGUUAAUACUGCUCACUCGCCCUCACACUCCUGCCUUUAAAGUUUUUGUCCUAGGAGACUUUGCUCAUAUUCCAAAGAUGCUGUCCCAAGUCAAAGUUGCCUGGAACCCUUCUUCUGGAACUGCCUUCAAGGCUAGUCUUAUAAUAAAUGAGCUGGCCAUUCAAAUUUUAAAAUCCUUACUUUAAAAAAAAAGUUAACCUUUUAAUUUAGUUUUAAACAAUUUCACGUUUUCCAAAUAAUUGAAGUCUAGCUGACUUGUAAUGUUGUGUCUGUUUCAGGUGUACACAAAGUGAUUUAUGUAUAUAUGUAUUGUUUUCCUGAUUCGUUUCCAUUAUAGGUUACUACAAGAUACUAUUCAGUUCCCUGUGCUACACAGUAAAUCCUUGCUGUUCAUCUGCUUUAUAUGUAGUGCUGUGCAUCUGUUAAUCCCAUACUCCUAAUUUAUCACCCCCCUCUCCUGUCUCCUUUGGUAACCAUAAAUUUAUUUUCUAUAUCUGUGAGUCUGCGUCUGUUUGUAAAUAAGUUCAUUUGUAUUUUUUUUAAGAGUCCACAUAUACAUGAUCUGUAUUUCUCUGACUUACUUCAUUUAGUAAGAUAAUCUCUAGGUCCAUCCAUGUUGCUGCAAAUGGCAUAAUUUCACUCUUAAAAUGACUGAGUGAUAUUCCACUGUGUGCGUGUGUGUGUGUGUGUGUGUGUGAGUACCACAUCUUCUUUACCCCUUCAUCUGCUGAUGGACAUUUAUCUUUAUUUUUUUUUCUUUUUUUUUUUUCUUUUUGUCUUUUUGCUAUUUCUUGGGCUGCUCCCAUGGCAUAGGAGGCUCCCAGGAGAGGGGCUGAAUGGGAGCUGUAGCUGCUGGCCUACACCACAGCCACAGCAACAUGGGAUCUGAGCCAUGUCUGUGACCUACACCACGGCUCAUCACAACGCUGGACCCUUAACCCACUGGGAGAGGCCAGGGAUUGAACCUGAGUCCUUAUGGAUGCUAGUCAGAUUUGUUUCUGCUGAGCCACCAAAGGUUAUUCUUGACUUAUUAGCCAAACUUAGCUCUGAAGAACUCAAGGCCAUUUCCAAACUUAAAAUCUUUCUUGACAAUAGAAAUACUUAACAUCGCCAUCUUAUUUUUUCUUCCAAAGAGCUCCAAAGAAGCGCCUGAAAAGGUUUCAGGCAAAUCGCUGGUCUUGAGGUGAGGCCAUAGCUUGGAAAGAUACCACACUCAAGUACCAAGGUACAUAUUCAGAUAGAAACGCACGUGCUCUGAUACGUUUACAUUAAAACAAGAAGAAAACCUCAAGCCACAUGACCACAUCCUAUGGAACAUUUUUUAUGUAACUACAAUCCAUCAUGCAGCAUUAAAAGGCAUUAAUAAUGAUCACAAUGAAAUGUUAGCAGACAGUGAUCUGAUGUGCCAAGGACACUAUGCCUUCAUGUGUCCUCUUUAAAUCUCACAGCAGGUAUUUGAGGCAGAGCCUACGAGUAUCCCGAUUGUGUUAAGUGGGGAAACUGCCACCCAGAGAAUGGAGAACCCAACCUAUGAACCCAUCGAAUGGCAGAACCAAAAGAGAAAUCCAACUCCAGAGCAUACAACUCUCAACCCCUGGGCUCAUUUCCAGACCUCAUUGGGUUAGCCAGCCACCUGUGGAGUUGCCCGUUCUGCACCAUCAACAAAACAGUGCCAGGACACCCUGGAGAGGCAAAUGGAACAUCUUUCAAGGUGGCGUGGACCCAGAACCAAAAGAGCACGUGGGGAGAAAGUUCUGCAGCAUAUAGCCCUUCAAAAACCAGGUGAGAGGGUGUCCUCCUGGCAAGGCUCAGAAGCACCCACAGUUACAAUUCUCAGCUUGGCUGGUUCAGCAACCCAGGGCUGAACCCUCCCCUGGAGCCCUGUCCCUGCCUGCACUGCAACAUGGAGAUAACAAACAAAUGCUUGUGCAGAAUGGAGCAAUACUGGGCUGGUCUGGGCAGUGCCGAGUGACACCCUAUGUUAAACCCUCGCAUCUGGAGUUGUACAGUCCAAGCUGUACUCCCUGCCCCAUGGAUUUCCAGCUAUGAGUUCUCAGGCAUUUUAUUUUUUUUUUUAGGGCCGCGCCUGCCCACAUGGAGGUUCCCAGACUAGGGGUCGAAUUGGAGCUGCAGCUGCUGGCCUAAACCACAGCCACAGCAACUCGGGAUCUGAGCCACAUCUGCAACCUACACCACAGCUCAUGGCAACACCAGAUCUCCAACCAGCUGAUCGAGGCCAGGGAUGGAACCCAUACCUUCAAGGAUACUAGUUGGUUCGUUACUGCUGAGCCACAACGGGAACUCCUAUUUCAUCUUUCUAAACUGCAUUUUCUCCAUGUGCAAAAUGGAGACACAACAAACAGCACCUACUCUGGGGUAGCCUGGAGUUUGUAAUGCCAAUUAGCUGUACCUGUCAUGAAGCAUAUGGCACAAAGCAGACACUUAGAAUACUGGUUCUUGUGUCCAUUAUUCCAACAAAGGUUCCAUAUGCAAUGGACAGCAGUGUGGACAAAGGUGUCAAAAUCACCCAUUGCCUCAGUACAGUGCUCUUCUGAUGGCUGAUGACAGCACACACAUGCCACCCCGCUUUAGCAUAGGUGCCCAAGCAGAGAAAUUUGCCCGUUUGGGUCUUAUCUUUUGGCAAAUGCUAACUAUACAAUCCAUUGGGUUCUUCCUGGACCUCUGAAGUCAACAUGAAACUCCUCCUUGUAACAGGGAAAUAUCUGGGGUUUUCAAAUACCAGUGGAAUUUCCCCCUCUUUUUUCCUGAAAGGCCAGCCUGACAUUUGGAGGUCGGUUGUGGUUCUGUACUUCUCAAAGCAGGGGUUUCCUAAGCUUCACAUCCACUUCAUGUUUUCCCAAGAUUUACAUUUGAAUAACCACUCCAGCGGCGGUGGAGGCUAGGCUUCUGAACUGCGGACUACUCUGAAACAGCGUUUUCCCAGGCCUAUCUGGGUAGUUCCUGGGUUGCCAGCUACUGGAGCUGGACCUGGGAGCAGAACAAUCUAAGCAAGAGAAUGAAACAAUACAAUAAGCCCCUGAGACACCACCACCCUACAGGUCCCAAGCCGACAAAGUGAAGAGUUCUGAACUUGGGAAAAAAGCCUUCUGGAAAGGAAGCUAAGGAAAAAAAAAAAAAAAAAACUCAGCCAGGAAGGGGGGUACUUUUGAAAGGAUUUCUAAAAAUUCCUGCUGCUACAUAUUAAGUUACUAACUCUGCCUGGAAGUGGGCUGUCCACCCACUGCCCUAAGCUGUCUGUAAGUUAGGGCUAGGUCACCCCUCAGCCGGGCCACCAGGGACGGGGACCUCUGAGACUUGUAUUCACUUCAAAGCCACAACACAGCUGACCUCACAGCACCAUCCCAGAGAAAUGUAAUGUUGAGUCCCACAUGUGAGUGAUUUCAGUUUUUCUAGUAGUCACACUUAAAAAGGAAUACCACCCAGGCAAAACCAAUUCGAAUAAUACACAUGACAUAAUCCAGUAUAUCUAAAACAUUUUUGUUUCAACAAGUGAUUAAGAGGAAAGAGUUACUGACGAGGUAUUUUACAUUCUUUUUCUUGGUACGAAGGCUUCAAACUCUGAUGUGUAUUUUGCACUUACAGCCCAUCGCAGUUCCUAACAGCCUCCUUUCAAGCGCGUGGACAGCCCAGGCGGGGAAGGUACUGGACUGCAUGGGUCUAGAGCAGCGGCCAUUCCCAAUCUGAUCACCUGAAACUGGUCAAGGGGGCAGGGUGGCGCCUGGCACAAAACGCGACAUCCCAGCCCCACCCUGGAGGCGCUCCGCGAGAGGCAGCUGGCCCCCCUCCAAGUUCCGCUGCGGCACAAGCUGCCACCCACGCAGCCCGGUCCCCACGGCCUCUCUGUAGAGGCAUACAGGGCUGACGUGUAUAAUAUACCCACUGGCAGGCUAGCCUGGGACUGGCAGGAGGAGGAGUAGGAGGAGGAAGAGGCCAAAGAAAGUCUCCCAGAGGCAAGUGGACUCGCUGGGCUGAGGGGUCAGGCGCCCACGCCUAUGAAACCAAGCAGUUCUGUUUGUCUGUUGGGUCUGAACUUGGCCCAAACUUCAACGUGGAUCUUCUCUUUUCCUUUGUGCACAGUCAUGAGCACCAUGCACACCUUGUCUGCAAAAGGAAGGGGGAGGGUUGGGGCCCUGUUUAUAACUGAAAGAGGUGGGAAGAACAAAUUACCGUCCUACCUGGGGUAUCUUGAACACUUCAAGGGGGCAGAGACAUUUCUGGAGCCUUUAUUUCCCUAUGCAUAUUCAGUAGGGCGUUUAAAAUGUCAAAUGGGGCCCUCUGCAGCUGUCACUUUAUCUCCCCAUGACCUUGGCCAGAAAGAAGCCACCUUUAACCUGGAGGAGGUGGGCUGAAUGCACCUGUCAAAACCCAGUGCACCUACCACCAUCACCUGGGCUCCCUGGCGGCUGGGAUGAGUUUUUCUGCUUUCUCCCUACUCGCUGGGCUGACUAGAUUGAAAUCUUUCAAAGGAGAAGACUCACACGCCAGUAUGGAAAAGUUCUCUUAUCAUUUGGAGAAAAUUAUUUAGGGCUGGGUAGAUAAACAUGUACAGGAAAUACUUCUAUAGAGGUCUUGAUCCUCUGAAGAUUAAUAACCCACGGAACUGGAGACCAGCCUCAAACUCGGAGGAAAUAGGCAAGUUAUAAAAACAGGAAGAACGGGAAGUUUAUUUUUGGAUGAAUAUUUGUUCUAGUGAAGCUCUCGAUCCUGACAAAAACCUUGAUCUGCAGGUCAUUUGCUGCAGCGGAGCAGCUGCAGUGCGUGUUUCCACAAGCUGUCCCACCAGAGAUUUCCGGGUCUUUCGGGAAAGGGCCUCACCCCACUCCUGCAAAACAUCUGCCUCGCUGCCACUGCUCAGGGCCUCCUUCCUCCCAAAUUCCUGCCGGUGAGUGGACUCUCCAGGCCAGCUAAAAAGCUCAGCCGUCGCCACCAGCUCUGCCUUUGUCCCCAGGGCCUGAAGCUGGCCCAUCUCCCCCAGGCACAUGAACUGCAGCUCCUGGUUUCUGCCACGUCCGUUCCAGCAGGAUGUGACCAGCCUUCCUCCGUGGACUGCCAGCCUCUCCAGUUCUCCUCCUAUAACCUGUCACUGCACCUUCCUCGGCUCCCUACUGCCUCUAGAAGAAAAGUCUUAUCUUUUCCAGUUUCACAGACAGAACUCUACACACUCUGGCCCAGCCCACCUCUGCAGCCCCGUCUCCACAGACAGGGCCGGCUCUGUGAUUUGCAGGGCCCCGGGCAAAAGGAAAAUAAAUUGUGGGGGCCCUUUGUUCAAAAAUUAGUAAGAAUUUCAGAAUGGCAAGAGCAGGGCCUUAAGCCAAGCAUAGGGGGGCCCUGUGUGACUGCCUUAGCUGCACAGUCACGAGGCAGGCCCUACACACAGCCUCCCUCAGACCAGCCACAGAAGGCAGCAGAUGCUAUCGCCACAGGAACCCCCUUCCCCUCUCCUCACACUCACUGAAGCUCAGCCCUUCCCUCAAAGCCGUCAAAAGACAAGGAAAUGGGCCUCCAUCCUCCCAGGUGACCCAUUCAGGUGCCCCCUCCUCUGCGCUCUCUGGUCCAGGUCUACAGUGUGGUGACUGAGGUACCUGCCUCUCCUCCACACCUUAAUCAGACCAAGGGUCCCAGGCUCCAGGUUCACUGCUCCGUCAGUGCUGUGCCCUCCCCUCCCCUUUCCAGAGCACACAUUAGGUCUGCUGCAAAGCUCUACUAAAUGGCCACUCGGAAUUUUGCUCUCCACCUCUAACGGCCACUUACGAAGCCUCCUAUGUCUUUGCCAACUGACCUGUUAAAGGAACAGUUUUUUAAAAAUUCCCCAGAGAUCAUGAUGUUGUGUAAGAGGAGAUGGCCGGGUCCUCCAGAGACAGAAUCACAGGACGAGUUUGAGAGCCUCUGAACAGGAACUUCCAUUAACCACCAUUAUGAAACUUACUGGCCAGACACCAAGGCUGCAUAUGUUGACUUUGGCAGUGGCUUCACAGGUGGCCCAGCUGGCACAGCGGCAGAAAUCUCACCAUCUCCCUGGCUGCUGCCAGCACUGAGGGGGGGCAGGGGGCGUGGUAGAGGGAUGGGAAACAGGAGAACCAGCCUUACCUUCCCUGUGUCCAGUCUGCAGAGGGGUGGAGAGAGCCGGGAGAAAGACAGGGAGCCAUUUUCAUCAAUGCCCUACAAAAGCCAUUGGGAAGCAGGUUCAAGACAAGAACCUUAGGUUUUCUCAUCUCGGAACCUGAAAUGAUUUGUUUCCCAUAACAAGAUCAACUUCUCAGGGAAGAUGCUUGUGGACCCUUAAGUUCCUUUUGAGCAAAGAAGCAGAAGAGAAACGAUCACCACUACCCACUUUCUAAUUCUUUCUAAUUUCUAAAACAUUAAAAAAUCCCAAACAGCUUCCUAGACAUUCAGGCAAAGUUGAUUUUUCCAGCAACUGUCGAUUCGAUUGACCGUGUUCAUGGAAGAAGAUGAAGCCAAGAAGUGGGGGAUGCCGUUGUAUCAGAAAACACAGGUAUUAACUUGGUGUGCCUUCUGGUAUUAGAAGACCUUCAAGGAAUCUUCCUCCCCCAAUAGGCUGUUCAGUAACAGUAACCAUAGUAACAGCAGGAGCUACAUUACUGAGCAGGGUGAUCAU